UACGGAGGGUGCGAGCGUUGUCCGGAAUCACUGGGCGUAAAGGGCGCGUAGGCGGCCCGUUAAGUGGCUGGUGAAAUCCCGCGGCUCAACUGCGGGGCUGCCGGUCAGACUGGCGAGCUAGAGCACGGUAGGGGCAGAUGGAAUUCCCGGUGUAGCGGUGGAAUGCGUAGAGAUCGGGAAGAAUACCAGUGGCGAAGGCGUUCUGCUGGGCCGUUGCUGACGCUGAGGCGCGACAGCGUGGGGAGCAAACAGGAUUAGAUACCCUGGUAGUCCACGCCGUAAACGAUGGACACUAGACGUCGGGGGGAGCGACCCUCCCGGUGUCGUCGCUAACGCAGUAAGUGUCCCGCCUGGGGAGUACGGCCGCAAGGCUGAA
rnacentral:rRNA from 1 species